rnacentral:misc_RNA from 1 species
AACCAUUCUCACCUGCGGCUAGACCUGCGGAAGGAUCAUUAAAAAGAGUGUGUACCCCUCUGUAAAAUGAGUGGGUUACCUCCCGUCCUUUGUUGACCUCUUAGGAGGUUAUUUUGAACUUUCUGCUUCGGUGGGGUUAAACCUACCGGAACACCCUCAAAUUCUUAUCAUUUAAAAAUUGUUCAGUCUGAUUUUUGUUAAUAAAAACAAAAAACUUUUAACAAUGGAUCUCAGAUCGUA